GUUAAUAUUAGGGAAAUCUACAAGUCAUUGCAACCUUCUCAAAUUAAAUCAUAAAGUCAUUGUAGGCUGUCUGAUGAAUGUAAAUGAAUAAAAUACCUGCAGUUUUGAAAGAUGCAAUUGCAAACUAUAUGCAUACCAGAUAUUUAUCAACAAAUUGCUCAACUAAUUCUUCAUAAAUGUGAGCCAAAUAGAUUACAUCAAGCUGCCAUUUUAGCUGAACAUGCACUCAGAUACAACUAAUCUGGCUUUUGCUGCAUUCAGUAAAUGCUUGCUUCCAAAACAACUUUUAUUCUAAAUGAAAGGGAAUUACGAUUGGUACUGCACAGAAGUUGAAUUAUGAUGGCGCGGUUCUUGUAAUUCUUAAGGCACAAUUCUAACAAGAAUCCAACAAAUAUCACAUCAAAGAAGUCUGCUACUGAACAAUCCAAGAAAAUAGCACAGGCCAUGAAUAGUGAAUAACCAGGUGGUAUUUGUGGCAAGGCUAGUGCUGAUGAAGGGGUUAUCCUCUGAACAUGAAGUCACAAUUCACAUAAAGUAAAAAAAAAUCCAUUGUUUCUGAAAUUGCAUAGUUCCAGAAAAUCAGCAAAGACAUUAAUACACUUUAUCGCAAAAUAUACCGCUCUAAGUGACUUCACUUCAGCUCUACAGAAAAACUACGGGUACAUGUACAGAUAUGUACAUCUAUGCCACACAAAAUUGUUUGAAAAAGGCCUCUGAGGCAGGCAUAAAAAAUAACCGCCUCAGUUAAUGUUGGGCAUUAACAGAGGUGGUUAUUUCUUAUUAACCAAGGCGGUUACGAAAACCGCCUAGCCAAACCCUCUCUCUCUCGCCCCCCCCCGUACAAGAGGCGAGUCGUGCAAGGUGGCUAGGCGGCUGGUGCGCCAAGGGGGCCACACUAUCUUCAGAUUAUUAUCAUUAGGGGUUUUAUUGUUAAUUAGCGUGAGACAUGUGUAAUACUCUUUGAGAAAUUAAGCAGAAACAUAUCAUUGUUUCCAGCUUCCCCACGGGAGCCGGCCCUAGCCCUAGCGCCGCCUCCUCCUCCUGCAUCGGCCACGGCGCCCUCUCGCCACCGCUUAUCCAGAGUUCCCUCGAGGACGAGCUGUUUGCGAAGACCGGGAGAGAUGUUAUGACCGGCCUCACGUACAAGAGGCGAGUCGCGCAAGGUGGCUAGGCGGCUGGUGCGCCAAGUGGGCCAAGGAGGCCACGCUAUCUUCAGAUUAUUAUCAUUAUGGGUUUUAUUGUUAAUUAGCGUGAGACAUAUAAAUACUUGUGUAAGACUCUUUGAGAAAUUAAGCAAAAACAAAUCAUUGUUUCCGGCUUCCCCACGGGAGCCGGCCCUAGCCCUAGCGCUGCCUCCUCCUCCUCCUGCGCCGGCCACCACGGCGCCCUCUCGCCGCCCUUGCCGCCCCUCACCUCGCUCGCUGCUCACGCAUCCCUACAACCUCCGCCCAAUCCCCGGUAGGGUUAGGGUUCCUAACUCUCUCUCUCUCUCCCUCUCUCCAGCAUGCCAUCCGCAGGCGGCGGCGGCGGCGCUACGGAUUCGGGUGUUGCGGAGCCAUCUCGGGGGGGGGGGGGGUGCAGAGUGGACCCGGCGGUGGCCCAGGCGAGCACACGGUGGUGGCGGCCCUGGUGAACGGCGGGCGAGCGCCCCAGCGGGUGAAUCCGGCGCCGGCGGAGCGGCGGCGGCGCUGGGCGCGGGAUUUUUUUUGAUUAACUGAGGCGGGCGCAAGACAACUGACUCAGAAGAUGCUCGAUUAACAGAGGCGAUAAGUCUGAGGCGGUUGCCUUUGCCCGCCUCUAAAAAUAGUUUUCAACCGCCUCAGAAAAAUACUGUAGUAGUGUAAUGAACGAACGCUGGACAUUAUCAGAUGCAAGCACCAUUUCACCUUAUUAAGCACCAUUUCACAUAAGCGAUUAGGCAUUUUCAUACUAACUGAUCAACAAGCUCAUGCAUCAGGCAGACAGGCACCCACCACACAUUCACACAAAGCUGUCUACUUAUAUAUCAGAUAAAUAGCACUACAGCAGAGCAAAGUAGAGCACCAACUCCAAGCACAAGCAGAUGCACUAGUAACCUAGCAGAGGGAAAGAAUAGGAGAGGAAAAGGAACCUAUGUUCGUGUGAUGUAGCUGCGGGAGGGGGUACAGAAGCGGAAGAAGAACCAGGAGCUCGACGACGGAUUCAUUGGGGAAGAGGAAGAAGAUGAAGAUCGAUUGGAGUAGAAGGGGCUGGAGCCACGAGAUUGGGGAGCAGGCACGAUGGGGUCGGAGCAAGGCGGAGCAGAAGUCGGAGGUGCCGAUCAGCAGGUGGAGGCUUCAAUUGACGAUGGGCGAAGCGCAGAUCGAAGGCCGUGGAGGCAUGGAGUUGCAGCAGAAGAGGAGGCGUGCAAGCGGGAGCGGCUGGAUGGAGGCGGCACGCUGCCGGAUUCCAGGUCCGCGCUGCCGCCCUCCUCUCUUCCCUCCUCUGUCAAUCGGCGCUGCAGGUGCGUGCGUGCCCCCUGGUAUUGGGGGUGGGGGGAGGGGAGCUUGGCUGCCGGCACAGAUGUCGUGAGCGGCACGGGAGAGGAGGGGGUGCGGCGCCGGCGGGAUUGUGAGCGUUGGAGGUGGAGGGGGUACGAUCGGGGCGGUUGCUGGGCUGCCUGGACAUUGUGGGGUGCGUGGCGGCGGGGGACCGAGGAGGGUGCGCGAUGGAGACCGGGGGAACGCCGUACAGGAAAAUCGGGAACCUACUGAUGCAACUUGUGAUGUUGGUAAUGAAGCUGAGAAUGUACCUACUCAUGCAACUUGUGAUGUUGGUAAUACUCUUCCCAAAGAUCAUAGGGAGCAUUCGAAUAGACAAGAGGAAACUAAUGCGCCCGAAUGUGGAGAUAAACAUUGUUCAUCUUCUAGAUACCAGUCUUCAUCAGUUAAGAGUUUCUUGAAUUUGGUGGAACCCACAUCUGGUCAAAGCCAGCAAACUGGAAGUAGCAAAGUUCCUUUCAUCAGCUCUGAAAAUUCAGGGCCACCUCAAAGUAAUGAAUGUUGUCCCCAUUGCUCUGAAGUUGAGUGCAGUUCAAUGCCCUUGCCUAGUUUUGCAGGUCCCAUUGAGCCUAUUCCCAUUAUUGUUGAUGAUAGUCAGGUAAUUGUAUUACUUAUUUUAUUGUUUGGUGCCCCAUUUUCUUAAUUGAUUGAUUAAAGAUGAUGAUAUUUUAUAACAUUUUGUACUUGAAGUUUUACUUAUUCCCCUUAGUGUAAGUUUUGUUAUGUUGCUUUGUAAUUUGAUUGGCUUUGUUAUGGAGUAAUGAUGGCAUAUAGUUGCAUCUAUUUGUGUGUGUUUGUGUGUGUGUGUGUGGUGCCAUGAAUUGUAAAACCUUGAACUAAUAGAGCCCGCUGUGGAAUGGUUCUGAUUCUGUGACACCGAGCAGGCUGUUCUUACAUUUGCCAUAUCAGCCUUGUGAAGCUAGAGCCCCUGUUUUCUGUGCUAUAAGAGCAACUCCAGCAGACUCUCUAAACAGCCCCAUAUCCCAAGUUAAGAGGGUUAAGCCAAAAAAUACACUUCAGCAGACCCUCUACUUCACCCUCUAUUUUAGGGAGGCCUCCAAAAUCCCUCCUCCACCCUCCAUUCCUAGGGGGUCUCUAGGGAGCCCUCUAUUAUAUAUUAGAAUUAAGGGCUAUUGCUGGAGUUAGAACUAAUUUAGAAGCCCCUAAAAAAUAGAGGCAGUCCCCAUUUAACAUUUAGAUGAUCUGAUUUAGGGGCUAUUGCUGGAGUUGCUCUAAUGAUUAGUAAGCCACACCCUAAGUUACUAAUGAUUUAGGCAGUCUUUUCAUUUUUUGCAUCUCAUCUGUUUUCGAUUCAUUGUCAUGUAUGGUUUUCUGAUAAUAUUUCUGUUCCAGAGCUGUCCUUUGUAGCUAGAAGUUGUCAUUACUGGUGAAAAACUUGUGGACUCGUAUAAAACACCAGAUCUGGUUAUUACUGGAUCUACAAAUUUCAAGACAAGUUGUGAAGCGCCGGCCAAAGAGGCUAAUGAUCUGUACAAUGAUGAGCAGCGUACAUGUUUCAAGAGAUGCGAGGAGAUAGGUUUCAAGUUUGGGUCUUCUUCCAAAGGACAAUUCCCACGUCGGAAGAGACGUAUACUCAAACCAAACUCGUAUUUCUGUGACUUUUUGGUGAACAUGUGCAAUGCUAGGAUACACUUUUCUUGUGAAGGGAAAUUAGCCUAUGAAUGUUUAAAAACUUUGCAUUGAACUGUUAUUGUUUUUCUAAUCACUCAUGCUUUGUCUUACUGAAGAUGUUGUUAUUAAUUCUGGCAAAGUCUGCAUGACAUAUCAUGAGCUUGGGUCAACAUUAAGCCGCUGUAACAAGGUUGUUGUUCACAGCCAUGUUAUUAAUGCUUUGUGUCGCAAGCUUUUCAAAGACAGGCAUCCCACCGUUUCACGACGGCAUUACUUUUUCUCAACUGUUGGAGUAAGAUUGAAUUAUCCUUUUUUAA